CGGCCUAUUGCCGUGCACUGCGGCGAGUGAAGCGGCAAAAGCUCAAAUUUGAAAUCUGGCGUCUUUGGCGUCCGAGUUGUAAUUUGAAGAAGGUAUCUUUGGGCCCGGCUCUUGUCUAUGUUCCUUGGAACAGGACGUCACAGAGGGUGAGAAUCCCGUGCGAUGAGAUGACCCGGGUCUGUGUAAAGUUCCUUCGACGAGUCGAGUUGUUUGGGAAUGCAGCUCUAAGUGGGUGGUAAAUUCCAUCUAAAGCUAAAUAUUGGCGAGAGACCGAUAGCGAACAAGUACAGUGAUGGAAAGAUGAAAAGAACUUUGAAAAGAGAGUGAAAAAGUACGUGAAAUUGUUGAAAGGGAAGGGCUUGAGAUCAGACUUGGUAUUUUGCAUGUUGCUCUCUCGGGGGCGGCCGCUGCGGUUUACCGGGCCAGCAUCGGUUUGGAGCGGCAGGAUAAUGGCGGAGGAAUGUGGCACGGCUUCUGCUGUGUGUUAUAGCCUCUGACGAUACUGCCAGCCUAGACCGAGGACUGCGGUUUUUACCUAGGAUGUUGGCAUAAUGAUCUUAAGUCGCCCGUCUUGAACCCCCGGACAAAA
rnacentral:rRNA from 1 species